rnacentral:rRNA from 1 species
UACGGAGGGGGCUAGCGUUGUUCGGAAUUACUGGGCGUAAAGCGCACGUAGGCGGCCUUGUAAGUUAGAGGUGAAAGCCCAGGGCUCAACCCUGGAAUUGCCUUUAAGACUGCAUCGCUUGAACACGGGAGAGGUGAGUGGAAUUCCGAGUGUAGAGGUGAAAUUCGUAGAUAUUCGGAAGAACACCAGUGGCGAAGGCGGCUUCCUGGACCGGUUCUGACACUGAGGAGCGAAAGCGUGGGGAGCGAUCCGG